GACAACCAAGCUUCGUGCCAAAGCUCCAGAAAAAAGUUUAUCCUUCUUAGUUAUUUAUACCAGCUCCAUGUUCCCAUCAGCUAGUUAGUUACUGAGUUAGUUAAAAAUUACUUUAAAAAUUACUUAAGAAUCGUCCGGUCACCCACCAACGACCGCGGAAAGUCGCGAGCUUGCACUUAGCUAUAUGCCUAACUGGGCAACUGGACUCGAUCAAAACGCUUUUUCUCUCACCGGGCACUGAACGGGCGUGCUUUUUUUCUUUUUAAUUGCUUUCUUUUUUUUUUUUUUCUCUCUUUCUUCUCUCCUAUUUCCUUCUUUUCUUUUCUUUUCUUUUCUCUUUGUUUGUUUUUGUUUGUUUGUUUGUUUGUUUGUUCUUUUGUUGUGGUUUAUUUCUUUAUAGUUCACUAUAUUUUGUGAUCCUUAUUUGGUCCUGGUGCGGCUCCUCCUAACUACUGUGGACCUAUUAUAUACCCGCGGGCUAUAUCACCCCGCAAAGGGAAAAAACCUUGAACGCUUCAACGGAGGACUCGAUGCACUUCCCGUGGCGGUUUCUUUUUGGAGGUUUCUUUUCUUUUUCUUUUCCUUUUUCUUUUUCUUUUUCUUUUUGUCAGAUCGCCAGCAAGCCAGACCCCAUUGGGACGAAUAUUCAUCAUCUUCUCAGUGAGUAAUAUCUGGGCGCACAUGCGCCGUUCCAUUCGUGCUGCGGCUGCCUUCUGAAGUUCUGCUCGGGGUCUCCGAGUUAUCUCAAUUUUCAAUUUUCUUUCUUACUUGCUUUUUGCCUUCGUUCUUUAUUUUUAUUUAUUUUUUAUUUUUGAUACAUAAUACAUACAAUAUUAUGAAUUUAUGAUAACAUGGUUGGAAAUUAGGAUGGUCACCAUCCCCCGACGCAGGGUUCCGUACGUGGGUUGCACAACCUUGCCUGCCAUACAUUAGGGAAAAAUUGAAGAAGAGAGAAAAAAAAAAAAUAGCAAUAAAAAUUAACAAAUGGAAAGCAAACGAAUUGUAUUAUUUUAAUUAUAUAUUUUUAUAACGGCUGGGCGAGGGGGAAAAGGAAGAGCGAGAGUUCCCCCCCCCCCCCUCUUUUGUUUUUGUAAAAGUAUAAGAGCCACCCCACAUAUUACCAUGGAAUAUACACCCCGAAUCGAUCUAUCUGUUGCUACCCCGUACAUGUAUGUACUCUACUCUACAUGUACUCCGUCAGUUGAACGAAUGCGGAAUAUAAGCCGAGUUCCUGUGGACCUGGCGAAUGCACAUACAACGAACACAUGAUUCAUGGUUUCGAAAUACAUCCCCAGUACAUUACUCACAUUCCUGCUUUGAUUCGGAGAGUGGGCCACAGAUACUUCUUGGAUCUCCAACGAGGAAACUUAACCAGCCACCC
rnacentral:sRNA from 1 species